rnacentral:rRNA from 1 species
UUUAUAUGAGAGUUUGAUCCUGGCUCAGGAUGAACGCUGGCGGCGUGCCUAAUACAUGCAAGUCGAACGAGUUUUGGUCGAUGAACGGUGCUUGCAUCGUGAUUCAACUUAAAACGAGUGGCGG